AUCUGCCUACGGGGCGCAGCAGUGGGGGAUAUUGGACAAUGGGGGGAACCCUGAUCCAGCGACGCCGCGUGAGUGAAGAAGUAGUUCGGUAUGUAAAGCUCUGUCAGCAGGGAAGAAAGCAAUGACGGUACCUGACCAAGAAGCCCCGGCCAACUACGUGCCAGCAGCCGCGGUAAUACGUAGGGGGGCAAGCGUUAUCCGGAAUUACUGGGUGUAAAGGGAGCGUAGACGGCUGUGUAAGUCUGGAGUGAAAGGCGGGGGCCCAACCCCCGGACUGCUCUGGAAA
rnacentral:rRNA from 1 species